GGAUGUGAGGGCUAUCUGGCUGCGACAUUGGUCACCCUAUUGAUCGCCAGGGUUGAUUUGGCUGAUCUGGCUGGUUAGGCGAGUGCCCCCUUCAUCCCUCACCGCUCCAUGUGCGAUCCUCCCGAAGCUCCGCGCUCAGUCAAAGAGGACGACCUUCCCGGAUAGAGGCGGACCGUUCUUUAGUCAAGGGUAUAUGAGUAGCUGCGCUCUCUUGCUAGAACAAGCUCCCAAGGUCCAUAGCUUUGAAAUUUGCUUAUGAUAGUUUGGGGUGAGUUAAAUUUUGAACUUCUCUUUGUUGAAGUUUUCUGGAUUUU
rnacentral:snRNA from 1 species